CACUCCCCUGCCUCAGGGAGAGGCAUGGGACACAAAUCUGGCCAGUAACCCUGACUGGAUUUUGGUUCCAAAGUCACAGGCAGGAAAAGAGUUCUUUCUUCUGGCAUUGCUGUUCCGGGGGAACCUACACCUGGAACUGCCCGCCACGUCCUUUGCAUCGUGUCAGGAGAAUGAAACCAGCGCAGGGAGAAGUGGGUGGAGGCAGGCCAAAUCCACACAACGAUGAGUUCCUGGAUCUAGCUAUGCCUGAAGCCAGCCCUGCCCAUGGAAUUUCAGUUACAGGAGCCAGCUGGUUCUCCCUUUUGCUUAAGCCUAUUGGAGUUGGGGGCGUGGACUGAAUGAUCCUAAGAACUGAUGUCUCCUAGCAGUGACAGCUGUCUCUCAGCCCUUGAGGGAUACACCCACGUUUUAGGAGUGACUGCAGUCGUACAGGGUGCAAGAGCAGGGCGGCUGACACACUCACCACCAGGUGGGCUUCAGCCCAUCCUCUAAAGGCUCAGUCUCUAAAGACACUGUUUCCCAGAUGCCCCUGCAACAGGUGCGGCUUCACGACUCCCUUCUCACAGAAGAAACAAAGGCGGAAAUGACACUCAAA